GGGAUCACCAUACACAUAGGGUCAAGCACAACCUCUAAUCAUCAAUAUCAUUUUUACAUAACAUAACUAUUCAUAACUUUACAUCAUUUUACAAUUUAUCAUGUCCACGUUCUAUCUAUUACAUACACAUGACUUCAUCCAUCUUGACUUCACUGUCUAGCCCGUACCUGCAACCCUGGGGGAUUAGGGAGAAGGGGUGAGCUACUAGAGCCCAGUGAGCAGAAUAAUAAAACAUUUGAAUCAUAUGCCAUAAUGGAAUACAACACAUCACAGACAAAUCACAUCAAUAGUCCUCUACAUUCCAAAGUGCCGGGACGUAGAAUGGGUCAACCGGACUUCCAUACCAUGACAUACCGUACCAUAUCACAUCAUAUCAUAUGAGGACUAAAGGAUCAUUCAAUAACCAAUCCACAUCAACAUCAUAGAAUGCAAUGCAACAUAUUCGUGUAUUCUAAUGCAAACAACCUAAAUCAUCACAUGGCAUUCAUGAUGCAUGAGCAUGCUCAAAACUUUAUAAUUUAUUUGCUUUAAAACGUAAGGGUUUAUUCUACUCACCUCAGCUAGCUCUGACAAUGACUGAAG
rnacentral:lncRNA from 1 species